AGGCAAGAAAUUUUAAAGGGGCUACAAAACAAAUCAACUGUCUCCUUUUUAAAUUAAUCCUAAAUCAUAAACUACAAUUGGAGAUCCCAGUUGGCAAGGUCCAAGGUGUGUCAGUGUGACCCCUGCCUGGAGUUGAGGCUUUGGAGA